AUUUAAAUAGCUUAAAAUUAGAGCAUAGUAUUGAAGAUACUAAGGUAGUAAUAUUACUUUUAAAUA
rnacentral:tRNA from 1 species